rnacentral:rRNA from 1 species
UACGUAGGGUGCGAGCGUUGUCCGGAAUUAUUGGGCGUAAAGGGCUCGUAGGCGGUCUGUUGCGUCAGGAGUGAAAACUCGGGGCUUAACCCCGAGCCUGCUUCUGAUACGGGCAGACUAGAGGUAUGCAGGGGAGAACGGAAUUCCUGGUGUAGCGGUGAAAUGCGCAGAUAUCAGGAGGAACACCGGUGGCGAAGGCGGGUCUCUGGGCCAAUACUGACGCUGAGGAGCGAAAGCGUGGGGAGCGAACAGG